rnacentral:misc_RNA from 1 species
GGUGAAGAACGCAGCGAAAUGCGAUAAGUAAUGUGAAUUGCAGAAUUCAGUGAAUCAUCGAAUCUUUGAACGCACAUUGCGCCCGCCAGUAUUCUGGCGGGCAUGCCUGUUCGAGCGUCAUUUCAACCAUCAAGCCUCAGGCUUGUGUUGGGGACCUGCGGCUGCCGCAGGCCCUGAAAACCAGUGGCGGGCUCUCUGUCACACCGGGCGUAGUAGAUUUUAUCUCGCUCAGGGCGUGCUGCGGGUUCCGGCCGUUAAAAAGCCUUUUUUACCCAAGGUUGACCUCGGAUCAGGUAGGAAGACCCGCUGAACUUAAGCAUAUCAAUAAGCGGAGGA